AACAAAACAUCGAGCAGCGAGCCAGAGGCCCCUGGGUACAAAACGACGUGUCAGUUCAGCGGAGCGGCUGCAUCCAUAAUCUCUCCCAACCAUCAAUACAGUUCCCCGAGUGGUUUUGAUGGAGAUCCCCCCGCCAGAUUGAGGAGAAUGGAGUCUUAUCGGUGUAAACAGACAGGCCCGAGGACUCUGGGGACCAAUCGGGCUACCAGGGGACAACCGGAGGGCCGGGUAUCUGCUCAGGUGGUAGACAAUACAUCCCCAUGAUGGUUCUAAAAUUGGGACAUACCUCGGCGGGCUACUGCCAAGAAAGUGUUUGCAAACGCUGUUAUGAACGCUGAUGAGUGAACUCAUCCGUCUUCUGAAGGACAGCUGGGGCGACGGAGCAAUUAGCGUUAUUAGCCGCGCUGGCCUUCCCUGAACCACAGCAGCGAGGCUUUCCUCUCCACACCACAUUCAUCAAUAUAUGCUUAACACACGUUUUAUUUUAGUAUUAUUGAUAUACAGUUAUAGUUUCGGUUUAUAUU